GGAGGGGGCUAGCGUUAUUCGGAAUUACUGGGCGUAAAGCGCACGUAGGCGGCUUUGUAAGUUAGAGGUGAAAGCCUGGAGCUCAACUCCAGAACUGCCUUUAAGACUGCAUCGCUUGAAUCCAGGAGAGGUGAGUGGAAUUCCGAGUGUAGAGGUGAAAUUCGUAGAUAUUCGGAAGAACACCAUAACUGAAGGCGGCUCACUGGACUGGUAUUGACGCUCGAUUGCGAAAGCGUGGGGAGCAAACAGGAUUAGAUACCCUGGUAGUCCACGCCGUAAACGAUGAUAACUAGCUGUCUGGGUACUUGGUGCUUAGGUGGCGCAGCUAACGCAUUAAGUUAUCCGCCUGGGGAGUACGGCCGCAAGGUUA
rnacentral:rRNA from 1 species